GAUGAACGCUGGCGGCGUGCCUAAUACAUGCAAGUCGAGCGAACGGACGAGAAGCUUGCUUCUCUGAUGUUAGCGGCGGACGGGUGAGUAACACGUGGAUAACCUACCUGUAAGACUGGGAUAACUUCGGGAAACCGGAGCUAAUACCGGAUAAUAUUUUGAACCGCAUGGUUCAAAAGUAAAAGACGGUCUUGCUGUCACUUAUAGAUGGAUCCGCGCUGCAUUAGCUAGUUGGUAAGGUAACGGCUUACCAAGGCAACGAUGCAUAGCCGACCUGAGAGGGUGAUCGGCCACACUGGAACUGAGACACGGUCCAGACUCCUACGGGAGGCAGCAGUAGGGAAUCUUCCGCAAUGGGCGAAAGCCUGACGGAGCAACGCCGCGUGAGUGAUGAAGGUCUUCGGAUCGUAAAACUCUGUUAUUAGGGAAGAAUAUAUGUGUAAGUAACUGUGCACAUCUUGACGGUACCUAAUCAGAAAGCCACGGCUAUCUACGUGCCAGCAGCCGCGGUAAUACGUAGGUGGCAAGCGUUAUCCGGAAUUAUUGGGCGUAAAGCGCGCGUAGGCGGUUUUUUAGUCUGAUGUGAAAGCCCACGGCUCAACCGUGGAGGGUCAUUGGAAACUGGAAAACUUGAGUGCAGAAGAGGAAAGUGGAAUUCCAUGUGUAGCGGUGAAAUGCGCAGAGAUAUGGAGGAACACCAGUGGCGAAGGCGACUUUCUGGUCUGUAACUGACGCUGAUGUGCGAAAGCGUGGGGAUCAAACAGGAUUAGAUACCCUGGUAGUCCACGCCGUAAACGAUGAGUGCUAAGUGUUAGGGGGUUUCCGCCCCUUAGUGCUGCAGCUAACGCAUUAAGCACUCCGCCUGGGGAGUACGACCGCAAGGUUGAAACUCAAAGGAAUUGACGGGGACCCGCACAAGCGGUGGAGCAUGUGGUUUAAUUCGAAGCAACGCGAAGAACCUUACCAAAUCUUGACAUCCUUUGACAACUCUAGAGAUAGAGCCUUCCCCUUCGGGGGACAAAGUGACAGGUGGUGCAUGGUUGUCGUCAGCUCGUGUCGUGAGAUGUUGGGUUAAGUCCCGCAACGAGCGCAACCCUUAAGCUUAGUUGCCAUCAUUAAGUUGGGCACUCUAAGUUGACUGCCGGUGACAAACCGGAGGAAGGUGGGGAUGACGUCAAAUCAUCAUGCCCCUUAUGAUUUGGGCUACACACGUGCUACAAUGGACAAUACAAAGGGCAGCGAAACCGCGAGGUCAAGCAAAUCCCAUAAAGUUGUUCUCAGUUCGGAUUGUAGUCUGCAACUCGACUACAUGAAGCUGGAAUCGCUAGUAAUCGUAGAUCAGCAUGCUACGGUGAAUACGUUCCCGGGUCU
rnacentral:rRNA from 1 species